CCCACUAUUCGAUUCACACUUGGGCAAACCCAAGAACCUAAAAACCUCCUUCCUCACAUCAAACGUCACACAAACCUCCUUCCCAUUAGUCUCAUCGCCAUUCUCAAUCGAGAACCCCAUCCAAUACGGAUUCCCCUUCACCGUCACCACGCACCACAUAUGAGGCAUAUCAUACGGGAAAUCCACCUUGAUCUCCUUCCAGCACUCCGCAUUACACGAAUACACAUAAAACCUUGUCAAAC
rnacentral:lncRNA from 1 species